rnacentral:lncRNA from 9 species
AUGAGGGGUGGGCAUACGGGGAACCAACGUGCUUGCCACAGAUCUCAUUUAAUCCUCACAACAGCCCAAAGGCAACGAGGAUAUAAGCAGAUACAAACCAAAUGUACCCAAAGAGGCUCACGAAGAAAAGUCACACAACGUGAGUCAGACUCAAGACCUGGGGUCCAGGUCGGUCUAAUGCCAAAGUCCCUGCUCUUUCCCCCGCUUCCCCGAGGCCGCGGGGACGCUGAACAUGACAGAAGAGCCCUGCCGCGUGUGGAAGGUCCUUGUCUAUGGACCUUUGGCCCAAGGCCAGAGCCGAGAAAGCGGGUGACUGAGGCUGUGCACGUCCAGACAUGCCCCUGCAUCCAGAAACUGGAAGCAGUGACCAGAGAGCAUGGAGGAGAGAAGAGAAAAUAAAUGGGCAGAAGGCGUCUGAGGACGAAGCACAGAGACGAGAGGAUCGACAGACCAAGACAGCGAUGGCGGCAACUCUGCUACGAGCUGUGUGACAACAGGCAGGAAGGCCACCCUCCCAGGGCCUCCACCUUCUGCUCUGUGAGAUGCAAGAGGCUAGAACAGCCAGCUCGGGGUAAACGCUGCGUUGAUGUCAGUUACAGCUGCCAGUGCGCUGCGGUUCAUUUUAUGGCUCUAUGUGUUCUUCCCCUAAUGACCUUCUCCUAAAUGCAUCCCGGUUUUUAUUGC